rnacentral:misc_RNA from 1 species
GAAAUGCGAUAAGUAGUGUGAAUUGCAGAUUUCAGUGAAUCAUCGAAUCUUUGAACGCACAUUGCGCCCCUCGGUAUUCCGUGGGGCAUGCCUGUUCGAGCGUCAUCUACACCCUCAAGCUCUGCUUGGUGUUGGGCGUCUGUCCCGCCUCCGCGCGCGGACUCGCCCCAAAUGCAUUGGCAGCGGUUCUUUGCCCCCCUCUUUGCGCAGCACAUUGCCAUUCGAGGCGGCGGCGGCCCGCGUCCAACAAGCUCAACCCCCCCGUCUUUGACCUCGGAUCAGGUAGGGAUACCCGCUGAACUUAAGC